GCCUAACAUAAGUAAAACGACUUCGCAUUUUACUUUGAAUCUCCAAUUCAAGUAUUAUUCAACCAAAAACUGUGAUUUUAAACUAUAUUUUGCAGUUUUUGCUGAGCACUUCCGGUAUUUUGACCUUUAACCCCGCAAAUUUUUAUCAAGACUAAAAAUAUCGCAAAUAUCCUAAAAAAUCCUAAAAUAUCCCUGUGUUUUUACGUGAGAGAGCCUGGAUCUAGU